rnacentral:rRNA from 1 species
GCUUACGGCCAUACCACCCUGAGAACGCCCGAUCUUGUCUGAUCUCGGAAGCUAAGCAGGGCCGGGCCUGGUUAGUACUUGGAUGGGAGACCGCCUGGGAAUACCAGGUGCUGUAAGCC